rnacentral:rRNA from 1 species
GGUACGUGAGCUGGGUUCAGAACGUCGUGAGACAGUUCGGUCCAUAUCCGGUGCAAGCGCAAGAAUAUUGAGAGGACUCCUCCUUAGUACGAGAGGACCGGGAGGAACGCACCGCUGGUGUACCAGUUAUCGUGCCAACGGUAAACGCUGGGUAGCUAUGUGCGGAGAGGAUAACCGCUGAAAGCAUCUAAGUGGGAAGCCCACCUCAAGAUGAGUAUUCUCAUGGGAUAACCCAGUAAGGUCACAGGUAGAUUACCUGUUUGAUAGGCUUUAGGUGUAAGUGUAGUAAUAUGCGUAGCCAAGAAGUACUAAUAGACCGAGGGCUUGUCCUCA